CGGUUUUCAGUUAGCUAGCACAAAUUUAUUUUCAGUUGGAAAGAGAUCUGUGCUCUGGCCAAUGACAACAAUUAUGAUAACAAAAAAGAUCCAUUUGACGUGUUAGAUAUCAAUGCCUGAUUACCUAAGUAUUGCCACCAACCUUCUUGUGAUCUAAAUUGAUGCAUUAUAUUCAGAAAGACCUAUUCAAGGAAAAUAUUUAUCAUGUACAGAAGAUGUCAAUUGGUGAUAACUUAUUACUUCUCCUUCCUCUCUUAAUAUUCAAAAGUACAAAUGACGGAAGGUAGAGCCAGGUGACUAUUUCUUCUGAACGAUCAAAAAGCUGAUUUUGAUUAGUACAUGUAUUCGUUGAAUCAUCUCCCGCCACUUGCUUCUUUUCAUCAAGAAGAUGUUUUCUUCUUUGAGAUAUCGGAGUCAUGUUGGAUGCUAACUUCAUUUAGAGUGUCAUGAUCAAGUAAUAAGUUCAUUGAGAUAUCUAGAAACAAAAAGGCUUUCUCAAACAAAUAAAGCAAUUCCAUUUUCAGGUAGGAUGUUGAUUCAAGGGAUCAAUCAAGAUUGUUUCUUUAUCCUCUUUGACUUUGGCUUCAAUUGUCCACUUGGGUAAUAAGUGAACUCUGACCUUUAUAGUAGAGAGGAUUAUGAUUAGGAUUAACAUAUAUAAGUGUCCUCAUACUGUGUAACUGAAACAGAUAUAUGUUGCUUCUCCCCUGAUACCCUUUACUCCUCUAUCAACAUUCGGUGUUUCCUUUUUUAAUAUUUGUUGCUUGCCUAAAUCAGUCUUUGUACUGUGGGUUCUUCUCAAGUCAUAAUUCUGAUUAGUGAUUUUUUUACUGCAGAUUCUUUGCUGUUAAUGAACUUUGAUGGAUCUUGGAAGAAUAAUUAAACUAUCUGUUAGGCACAGGAAGUGCAACAUUUGAGUGAACUACAUAUUGCAAGAUGAAGAAAUUACUUUGACUUAGGCUUCAAGAUGGACUAUAUAGCCUAAGCAACUGGAGUAACCAAAGACAUUUUCAGGGGACUACACUAGCUCUAAUAAUCCAGUAACAGAUUGGGAGUAUGAUUACAGUAUUUAGUUGGAUGACACCUUAUCUCUCUAGGACCUAUUAUAUUGUGAAAGUUCAAGACAUGUUGAGGAUCUAGGUAUUCGCGUACCAAAAUGUUCCUAACCUGGAAUUAGUAUUUUGAAUAAUCCCAAGAAUUAUUUAAUAAAGGAAAUUAAAGAAAAAACCAAAUAAAAUUCUUUAAAAGAAAGAAAUUGGCAUAUGUAUCCUUAACCUGCCAAGAGUCAUAAGCUGCAUUUAUCCUAAAAAGUGGAGUCUUGAC
rnacentral:lncRNA from 1 species